rnacentral:rRNA from 1 species
UCGACGCUUUUUCUUUCACCGGAGCUUGCUCCAUCGAAAGAAAAAGAGUGGCGAACGGGUGAGUAACACGUGGGUAACCUGCCCAUCAGAAGGGGAUAACACUUGGAAACAGGUGCUAAUACCGUAUAACACUAUUUUCCGCAUGGAAGAAAGUUGAAAGGCGCUUUUGCGUCACUGAUGGAUGGACCCGCGGUGCAUUAGCUAGUUGGUGAGGUAACGGCUCACCAAGGCCACGAUGCAUAGCCGACCUGAGAGGGUGAUCGGCCACACUGGGACUGAGACACGGCCCAGACUCCUACGGGAGGCAGCAGUAGGGAAUCUUCGGCAAUGGACGAAAGUCUGACCGAGCAACGCCGCGUGAGUGAAGAAGGUUUUCGGAUCGUAAAACUCUGUUGUUAGAGAAGAACAAGGAUGAGAGUAGAACGUUCAUCCCUUGACGGUAUCUAACCAGAAAGCCACGGCUAACUACGUGCCAGCAGCCGCGGUAAUACGUAGGUGGCAAGCGUUGUCCGGAUUUAUUGGGCGUAAAGCGAGCGCAGGCGGUUUCUUAAGUCUGAUGUGAAAGCCCCCGGCUCAACCGGGGAGGGUCAUUGGAAACUGGGAGACUUGAGUGCAGAAGAGGAGAGUGGAAUUCCAUGUGUAGCGGUGAAAUGCGUAGAUAUAUGGAGGAACACCAGUGGCGAAGGCGGCUCUCUGGU